rnacentral:misc_RNA from 1 species
GGAAGGUUUAUGAUAGCUCUGAAUUUAAAUUUUCCAAUUGUAGUUUUAUUAUAAUUAGUUAAUGUGUAGAGUUUAUCUCACUUUAAAAGUGAUGGGAAUGGGUAUUGUAUGUGGGUAUGUGUUUAAGCUGAUUUGAUCUGAUUGACGUUUUGGCUAAGUCUCUUCCGGUUAACUUGUAGUAUUCUUCUUAAUGCUGCUUCUUUUUUUAUUGUUUGCAUAUUAGAUAAACCAUGGCCAUGUAUAUUCAGGACAUUUCUCCUUUUCUUUGUUAAUAGGAUAGGCUUAUAAGUUCUAAAAAAAUUUAUUAUGAUUUUUAAAUUUUUGUGCGAAUCUCUUCUCUCA